UCAACUGAAUUCCACUGAACUCAACUGAUCUCCACUGCAUUGCUUGAACUCAACCAAACUGAACUUACUGCACCACCGUCCACCUGACUCACUCUGCCUGUCCUUAAGUUCACUAGUGAAUAUUCACUGCAAUGAGUUUCUGGUCUGAUCUGAGAUCUCUGGCUUCUGGGACACCAUCAAUAUUGACUCCUCACCUGGAAUCCACAUGGUAAUCCUGUUGCUGCCUUGUGUCAUGGAGAUCCUGCAGCUUUGGGUCAGCAUGACUGACCCUUUCACGCUGAUCCAAGAGUUCACAGUUGAUGCAGAUUUUGGAGUGGGUCAACUCAAAGCCCUGGAUCUGGGCCUGGGGGUAGCUGAGAUGCUCAGCCAGCUGGCUUUCUUUUAUCUGAAUCACCAGGGAAGUGCCCAUGAAGACGAGAAAGGGACGUAGAACUCCUGGAUCUGGAGUGUCAGAUGGUUGUGAGCUGCCAUUUGAAUGCUGGGAACAAAACACAGGUCCUCUGCAAGAACAGCAAGUGCUGUUACACACUGAGCCAUCUCUCCAGCCCCUGGCCGACUUCAAUUUUUUUAUUUGCUUACAUUAAUCUGUGCCUGAUUGGUUUUUGGUUGUUUUGUUUGUUUUGUUUUGUUUUGUUUUGUUUUGUUUGUUUUAAAGCCUAUCAACUGUGUUCACUCAUGUAAACAAAGCUCCUAGUCAGACCCAUCCCGCCCUUCUACCCCCACUGUCCUCAGCAGAACAUUCUUUAGUCUUCAGUUUACCAGCAUAACAGACUAACCCUCACAGUGAGCUGCCGCUUCACAGGCCUUUCCAGGCCAUGCUUGUGGGAUUCUCAAAGCCUAAAGGCAAGCUCUUCCACAAGGGACUUCUAGCCGGAAAGGGCACUGGCUCUCUGAGGAUUUGAAUAUGGCCCCACCCACUUCAGUCCUUAGAAUGGAUCUACGAGAUGAUUCCACCACUCUGCAUUCAACUCCAGAGACCACUGGUGAUGCAGCAGACCAUCCUUAGAAUGACUGACACUGUCACUUCUCACCCUUCUCAAGCGUGACUCCCAAGCAACCCCAGCAGCAAGUCUACCAGCAAACGUAUGCAUCAGGGCCUGGUCCCAGGACAUCCCAUCUAGAAUAUGGGAAAAACCUUGCUGUACAGUGAGCUGAAACCAGGAGCCUGUGUGAUGUACCCACAGUAACACAACUCCCAAGGGCACCACUGACAGGAACUAUGACACCACACUACGGUUUCUCUCUCCACUUUUUGCUUUUGACAUGCAGCUCAAUCCGUGGGGACAGUCCUGCCAGCAAAUAACCCAUUGUUUUCAUGACAGAAAAUUACAUGCCAACAAGUGACAUUUAAAUUCUGAAUUUUAAUCACUUGUCAAAAAGUGAAAUGCAUUUUUAAGAAAUUUAAUAUGAGAGAGCAAUGUGUCUGCUCAUAUAGACAAGAAUGUUAAAAUAAAAUGAAAGUGUUUUGUUCGUUGAUGUAUACAUUUGUGGGGGUUGCAUAAUUAAAUCCCAUUAACUUUCCUCCUCUGUGGAGAAAGCUCCAGAAGGCAGUGGGCAUGCACUGUCAGAAACCAACACAUGUCCAGGAAGUAGCUGGGACAGAGGGAACAAUGCCACCAGUGCUGGUGUGAUGUAGUCCCCAAGGUAGACUGAGCCCUCAGAUUCUGACUUCCCAACCCCAGAAGUAUCCUUAUGACAGACAGGCUAACCAAGAUCAGGAUACCCACUGGCUGGGAAACCCCUCCCCCAGUGUACAGCAUGCUCAGCACCCUAGAGUAUAGGUCAUAGUGGAGCCUACAUGAUCAGAUCUAAAACCCUGAAAGGCCCAGGAUGAAGGAGUCAAGUGGAGACUAGGUAAAACCAACUAGGCAGGUCAAAUCACAUGGUACUGCAUGAAGGAUAAGGCAGAAGGGGGUUACAUGGUGCUUCAGGCAUCCUUAUGUAUACCUGUACAAACAUGCACUGUGCAGGUAAAUGGGAAUGUACUGUGUAUAUAUGCACAUGUCUGUUCAUAUAGGUUUGUGCCACUGUACUGUGCCAUGUGUUUACUUGCAACCAUAUAGGAGUGUGCAAUAUGUAUGUAACACCUAUAUACACAGGCAUGUGCUGGUGCCAUGUCAUGUGUUUUUAUGUGUAGCUGUGAGCAUGAGUGUGCAUGUAUAACACAUGUAGAUAUGCAUGUUUAUUAAUUCAUGGCAUGUAUUUGGAGUGUGCAUACAGCUGUGUAGGAGUGGGAAAAGCCAAGUGUAGUCUUGCUGCUCCUAAGGACUGUGGAGACAAGGUUAUCCAAAAUGAAAUCAGGCAGACACUGCUCACUUUUUAGCCUUGUAUCAACUCAGUAUGCUUGGACUUCAAUUUCCUGCAUAUGACCUUCCAGCCCUGUUACCUCUCACACAAGUGCUAGCAGCAUGUAGUGUCUCCCUGCAGCCUGCAGCCUGGAGCUUGGGACCCAGAGAAGCAAUGGAGUUAAGACACCUGGUGAAACCAAUGACCUGAAUGUUUCCUCAAGACUGUCCUCAUUACUUACUAGAAAUGCACAGUCACGAGAAAAUCAUAACAGGGGUUCCUACAAAGUCAGUUCUGGUUCUCUCAGUGUCUUUCCCAUAAUACCCAUUGCCUGUCUCACCUCCUGUAUAGGUCUGCCUUCUUCUGCCAUUUAGGGGUCCCUUCUGGUUACUGAAGCCAUCACGCUUCCCACAUGUCCCCCUGUACCACAGUGACAUGUGCUCCCUGUAUCUUUUUCUGAUAGUAGCUUUAAGUGUACCUAUAUGGCAGGAGACAUGGUGAGAAAAGGUGGGAUGGCAUGCUGGGCAGAGAAACCAAGCAGAGCUUUAAGUAAGGAUGGUGUAGGAAGGCAGCAUCUCGGCUUGACCAGGUCAGAGUCCUCUUUCCUAAACUCUCACAUGCUCUCCUUUUCCUUUAACUUGAAACUUGUUUGUCAUGAACUGGGCUCACAUAAAUACAGCUUGCACAUGCUGCCAGCCAUGCCAGAAAGUGUUAGGCUGGUAAAAGAGACCAUGGUGGCUUUCUGUCCUAUCCAGGAGGAGCCAGUUAUCUGUAUGUAGCAAAACCCAUGCAUCUACAGUCUGGAAAAAUUCAGAUAAUAGAGGAAGUCUCAGGAGCUCAGUUCCAUCCCUGCAGAAAGACAGGUUCACUCUUCUGUGCAGAAAGCCAUCAGCUAAGCAAAGGCCAUCUGUUCGCUCUGUCAAAGGAACACCCUUCUCUUCUCAAAAGACAACGUGAAGGGAAAAAAGCAAACUUGGAAGGUGAAGUACGCUCCGGUGUUCAGUCUUCUCAGUGUUACCAAGACAAUCACCAUGAUGUCGCAUCUGUACCUCCCCUGCCUGCCCUAACUUUGUCCUUAUACCUCUCCCUAUAUUCACAGUCAUGUCUAUAUUUGCAUCUGCACCCAUAUCUUCUUCAUCUUCAGCAUCUGCAUGUAUAACUGAACCAAAGAAGCUAUUCCUGAACCUAUAUGUAUUAGUCAGAGUUCUCUACACACAGAACUACUAAGGAGGAAAAGGAAGGACUUAUAAUAGGAAUUACCCCCCAAUGAUUCCUAUGACAAUAGGCUGGAGCUCCAGAAAAUAUGAUGAUGUAACUCUGAGGCCAACAAGGGAAGCUGAGAAACUGCUAGAAUGGAUGAGUCCAAAGGCCAGAGGCUCUAAAGGUCUAAUAUCCCUGGCAGAAUAUUUCAGCACUAGCAAACAGGAACUCUGAUUUCCUCUGUGCAGGCACAAGCCAACUGAUGGUGCUACCUCCCACACAAUACCACCUUUGACAUCAGACAUGCCCAUGACAGACAGGCCCAGAAGUGGCACUUUACCAGCUAUCUACAUAUCCCUUAAUCUAGUUACCUUGGCACCUGAAAUUAACCAACAUACUCUGAUAGAAGGUUUGAACUAUAAUCCCAUUCACAGAUGUUUAGCUCUAAGACAUGAUGUCCAGUACCCCGCACAUCAUGAGACUGGGUGUCUGCUCACAGACUAUCCCACUCUGUGUAUCCUUUUUUUUUUUUUUUAAAUGUGCUUACAAAGCAUCAUGAUCUACUAUCCUCUUAAUGGUGUUUUCACCACAGGGUCAUCCUAUGAUUAAGAACUCACAGGACUAUCAGACCUGUAGCUGGCUCAGCCCCCUGGCCUACUUUCCCCUGCUCAAUACUCUCUCCUUUCUGGAAUGAGCAUUUCCUAUUUGCCAUGACAGCCUUUCCUGUGCAUGGACAUUCAGAAGGAGCAAGGAAAUUGUUAUGUCAUUAUGAGCAAGGAAAAUGGUAACAAGAGAAAUGGCAGUGCAUCAGCCACCAGGACCCCUCCUGAGUUUCAUUUACCGACAGACAUACCCAGGAUCUGACUUCUAUUGAGUCUGUGGUACCAAAGUAAUGGUAGUGACAGACCUGGAGUCUGUCCCAGAUGACAUCUCUGAUCUGAUGUCCUUCCAGACCUACUAAAGCCUCUGGAUGUGAACCGUGAGUUGACCAUUUUUAUGCCCACAUUAGGGCUGCACCAGAUGACUGCAUCAGCACAGCUGAAUAAAGGACUAGAAUAUAUGCUCAUUCUGGCAUUCAACCUUAAAGAAUUAACCAACUCAAAACUCAGGUUGACAGUUUGUAAACACUCAUACUUGGACCAGAGAAAGGCUUUGCCAUGCACCUGAGCCUCUCCUAAGAGAGACAUUGCCACUGAGCUGAGGCACAAGAAAGACACUGUCACUGGUCUGAGGCACAGGGUUCUUCCUUACCAUGAGUGUGAUUAUGUCAAUCACAUGGACUCCCUUGGGAUUUCUUCUGACCUUUACACAUUCUCUCAAGGCUUCCCUUACCACCUACAUAUUUCCUCCACCCAUAGCAAGCAAGCACUUCAGCAAACUUUGGUUUGUUUCCUGGAGGAGUGACCCAUACCUUCAUCCUUGAAACUUCUGGGACAUGUAUUUACCCUGCUGAAUUGAGUUGCUGCAGUUUCCCACUGACUUUAAUCACAAGACACAGGUAACAGUAAGAGACACCCUAAGUACCCCUUAUACUCCAGACACAAUCUUCCUUACCUCCACUAUAAAAAGCAAUCCAAUUUCCCACUGGCAAUCCAGACCAAUCACACUCUUAUUCCUUUCUUAGCCUGUUGGCUCAAGGGUAUCAGAAACCCAAAGUGGCCAGGAGGAGGUCUGAGCCUCUCAUCUGUUGUGUUUUCUGGCAGAAAUAUUUCUCUGUUUAGAGCCAAAACGUUUAGGCCACCAGAAUAGGAAGCAAAAAUUCUCCAUUAGGAGUUUGUGAAUGGGACCACCCCCAUAACUAUUCUUUAAUUCCCAGACUUAUGAAUCAUAGCUAUAGAAGUUAAGGUAUCACCUACUGGAUGCUGAUUCAAAGCAUAUACACUUUUAAGAAUAACUCUUCCCUAGCCCUCCAGGCUGCUACCACCUAAUUGAUAAUGUAACUGUGUUUUUAAGAGGUCAUUCCAUUGUUCCAUCAGGAAAGCUGCUUCAGGAUCGUGAGAAACACAUAAGACCUGUGGAUCCUAUGGUCAUGGACCCACUGCCACACUUGUCUGGCUAUGAAGUAAGGUCCAUGAUCAGGUGCAAGUGGAAUACCAUGUGGAUAGAUGUUCUCUAAGUCCAGGUUGGUAGCAUUAGCAGAAGAGUUAUGUUCAGAAAAGGCAAAUCAAUAAACUGAAUAAGCAUCCAUCCCAACAAGGACAAAGCAUUAUUCUUUCCAUGAAAGAAGGGAUCGAGACAGUGGAGCAGGUCACUGACAGAUCACCCCGGUAAAUGGUGCUUAUUGGGAAGGGGGAGCUCAGCGUUUAUCUUUGCAUAUGGCAGAUCAGUCACUUAGCAGUAGUUGUGGCCAGGUCAGCCCCAAUGAGUUGAAGCCCAUGUUAAGCCCAUGAAUAACUUUCACCUCUGCCACCAUGGCCAUUUUGUUUAUGAGCCAACUGAGCAGUGACAGGCAGGGAUGGCUGGAGAAAGAGGCUAGCUGUCCAGAGAACAGAUUAUCCUAUCUACUUGAUUAUUUAACUCCUCUUCUGAAUUUAUCUUUCAAUGAGCAUUUUUAUGGGAUAUAAUUAUCUUUACAUCCUUUUUCCAUCCAAUGAUAUCUAGCCACAUACUUCUGUCCCAGGUAUCUUUCUCACAGAUUUUCUCCAAUCAUGCUCUUUCCAAGUCUCUGAGCAUCCAGCCAAUCAAUUGGAUGCAGCACAUGAAUCAGUAAACAAUUACACAUCUGGCCUUUUUUUUUUCUUUCAAGCAAAAUGUAUGACCAUGUGCACUGCCUGAAGUUCUGCCCAGUGUGAUGAUUUCCCUUCACCAGUGUCUUUCAGAGUUGUACCAGAGGUGGUUGCAACAGUACAGCUGUCCAAUUUUCAGUGAUACCUACAUAACUUACAGAACCAUCAGUACACCAGGGCCUAGAAUUCUUUUCCUCAGUCAACUGAUCAUAAGGCACAUCCAAUGAGGCAUGCUUUGGAGCAAAGAGCAUUGUAGCAGGAAUAGAAGCCACAGGUAUUUUGGAAAUGUCUUCAUGUAACUUGCUUGUGCCCUCAGGACCUACUCAGAUCCUAUCAUUCAUUCAUAUAUAUAUAUAUAUAUCACUUCCAUUGAUAAUGGAUCUCUGCUUUGUACAUCCUACUUUAUGGCUUGGUGGACAGAUAAUACCCAGCUCAUGAUAGGCAGCUCAUGUCACAGGAUAACUUGGUGACCCAUUGUCAAUCA